CACGUAGGGCGCAAGCGUUGUCCGGAAUUAUUGGGCGUAAAGAGCUCGUAGGCGGUCUGUUGCGUCCGCUGUGAAAACUCGGGGCUUAACCCCGAGCCUGCAGUGGAUACGGGCAGACUAGAGGUAGGUAGGGGAGAAUGGAAUUCCCGGUGUAGUGGUGAAAUGCGUAGAUAUCGGGAGGAACACCAGUGGCGAAGGCGACUUCCUGGCCUGUUCUUGACGCUGAGGCGCGACAGCGUGGGGAGCAAACAGG
rnacentral:rRNA from 1 species